AAUGGAAUCGACAGGGGAGUAAACUGGUAAGUAAGCAUGCCGGAGUAUGAUGGCUUAUCUCCGUUAACAACUGGCUAUUAACCAAUUCAAAUGGCAAUACUCAGUAUGCCAUGGCAGCCUAGGACUAGGUCUUAGAAUGCCUUUGUGCCGUGCGCUUGACGCCUGAUACACAGUGUGCCGCACAUCAACCAACCCUCAGGCUAGUAUCAUAAAAUGCCCCGGUUAUGAUGCGAAAUUCAGGGGAUAAGGAAUGAAUCGGGAGGGUUUCCAAUCCUGCCUCAUUCUCGAAAAUUCAACUGGAAACUAAGCAUGUAGAAGGCUUAUGAGUGCUUUCGCUGGACGCGAGUUCGACUCAGA
rnacentral:tmRNA from 1 species